rnacentral:rRNA from 1 species
UACGUAGGGUGCGAGCGUUGUCCGGAAUUAUUGGGCGUAAAGAGCUUGUAGGCGGUUUGUCGCGUCUGCUGUGAAAAUCCGGGGCUCAACCCCGGACUUGCAGUGGGUACGGGCAGACUAGAGUGUGGUAGGGGAGACUGGAAUUCCUGGUGUAGCGGUGGAAUGCGCAGAUAUCAGGAGGAACACCGAUGGCGAAGGCAGGUCUCUGGGCCACUACUGACGCUGAGAAGCGAAAGCAUGGGGGGCGAACAGG